GAUGAACGCUGGCGGCGUGCCUAAUACAUGCAAGUCGAGCGAACGGACGAGAAGCUUGCUUCUCUGAUGUUAGCGGCGGACGGGUGAGUAACACGUGGAUAACCUACCUAUAAGACUGGGAUAACUUCGGGACACCGGAGCUAAUACCGGAUAAUAUUUUGAACCGCAUGGUUCAAAAGUGAAAGACGGUCUUGCUGUCACUUCUAGAUGGAUCCGCGCUGCAUUAGCUAGUUGGUACGGUAAUGGCUUACCAAGGCAACGAUGCAUAGCCGACGUGAGAGAGUGAUCGGCCGCCUUGGAAGUGAGACACGGUCCAGGCUCCUACGGGAGGCAGCAGUAGGGAAUGUGCCGCAGUAGGCGAAAGCCUGACGGAGCAACGCCGCGUGUGUGAUGAAGGUCUUCGGAGCGGAAAACUCUGUUAUUAGGGAAGAACAUAUGUGUAAGUAACUGUGCACAGCUUGACGGUACCUAAUCAGAAAGCCACGGCUAACUACGUG
rnacentral:rRNA from 1 species